rnacentral:tRNA from 1 species
GCCACAGUAGCUCAGUGGUAGAGCAACGCAUUCGUAAUGCGUAGGUCGUCGGUUCGAUCCCGACCUGUGGCUCCA